AAGCUUAGUUUCAGUGUUUAACUGCUCACGCACAUAAUCCACCAGCUGUUGGCUUGACAUGCAAUCCCAAAUGCCAUCACAAGCAAGAACAAGAAACUCAUCAUCAUUGCAGAGCUCAACAGUAUUUAUGUCUGGAUUGGCAGGUAGCAGGCAGUGAUUUGUUCUGCUUGAACUCUGCAUCCCCAAUUGCCCUAGCCAAGUUCAAACUUCCAUUAACACGUCCAAUUUGUAUGAAACCACCAGCUUUCAGAAUCCUAUCUCUCUCAACCUCAAGGUCGGGCUUGUGAUCUUUAGACAAAUUAUAUGCCUGACCCUUCCUGGAUNAACGGGAAUCACCAGCAUUGGCAACAACAAGUUGAUUGUUUCGAAUCAUUGCAAUGCAUGC
rnacentral:misc_RNA from 1 species